rnacentral:rRNA from 1 species
CCGUAGGUGAACCUGCGGAGGGAUCAUUACUGAGUUUACGCUCUAUAACCCUUUGUGAACAUACCUAUAACUGUUGCUUCGGCGGGUAGGGUCUCCGCGACCCUCCCGGCCUCCCGCCUCCGGGCGGGUCGGCGCCCGCCGGAGGAUAACCAAACUCUGAUUUAACGACGUUUCUUCUGAGUGGUACAAGCAAAUAAUCAAAACUUUUAACAACGGAUCUCUUGGUUCUGGCAUCGAUGAAGAACGCAGCGAAAUGCGAUAAGUAAUGUGAAUUGCAGAAUUCAGUGAAUCAUCGAAUCUUUGAACGCACAUUGCGCCCGCCAGCAUUCUGGCGGGCAUGCCUGUUCGAGCGUCAUUUCAACCCUCAAGCUCUGCUUGGUGUUGGGGCCCUACAGCUGAUGUAGGCCCUCAAAGGUAGUGGCGGACCCUCCCGGAGCCUCCUUUGCGUAGUAACUUUACGUCUCGCACUGGGAUCCGGAGGGACUCUUGCCGUAAAACCCCCCAAUUUUCCAAAGGUUGACCUCGGAUCAGGUAGGAAUACCCGCUGAACUUAAGCAUAUCAAUAAGCGGAGGAAAGGGC